rnacentral:rRNA from 1 species
GACGAACGCUGUUUGCGUGCUUAACACAUGCAAGUCGAACGGAAAGGCCCUGCUUUUGUGGGGUGCUCGAGUGGCGAACGGGUGAGUAACACGUGAGUAACCUGCCCUUGACUUUGGGAUAACUUCAGGAAACUGGGGCUAAUACCGGAUAGGAGCUCCUGCUGCAUGGUGGGGGUUGGAAAGUUUCGGCGGUUGGGGAUGGACUCGCGGCUUAUCAGCUUGUUGGUGGGGUAGUGGCUUACCAAGGCUUUGACGGGUAGCCGGCCUGAGAGGGUGACCGGCCACAUUGGGACUGAGAUACGGCCCAGACUCCUACGGGAGGCAGCAGUGGGGAAUAUUGCACAAUGGGCGGAAGCCUGAUGCAGCAACGCCGCGUGCGGGAUGACGGCCUUCGGGUUGUAAACCGCUUUCGCCUGUGACGAAGCGUGAGUGACGGUAAUGGGUAAAGAAGCACCGGCUAACUACGUGCCAGCAGCCGCGGUGAUACGUAGGGUGCGAGCGUUGUCCGGAUUUAUUGGGCGUAAAGGGCUCGUAGGUGGUUGAUCGCGUCGGAAGUGUAAUCUUGGGGCUUAACCCUGAGCGUGCUUUCGAUACGGGUUGACUUGAGGAAGGUAGGGGAGAAUGGAAUUCCUGGUGGAGCGGUGGAAUGCGCAGAUAUCAGGAGGAACACCAGUGGCGAAGGCGGUUCUCUGGGCCUUUCCUGACGCUGAGGAGCGAAAGCGUGGGGAGCGAACAGGCUUAGAUACCCUGGUAGUCCACGCUGUAAACGGUGGGUACUAGGUGUGGGGUCCAUUCCACGGGUUCCGUGCCGUAGCUAACGCUUUAAGUACCCCGCCUGGGGAGUACGGCCGCAAGGCUAAAACUCAAAGGAAUUGACGGGGCCCCGCACAAGCGGCGGAGCAUGCGGAUUAAUUCGAUGCAACGCGUAGAACCUUACCUGGGUUUGACAUGGAUCGGGAGUGCUCAGAGAUGGGUGUGCCUCUUUUGGGGUCGGUUCACAGGUGGUGCAUGGCUGUCGUCAGCUCGUGUCGUGAGAUGUUGGGUUAAGUCCCGCAACGAGCGCAACCCUUGUUCACUGUUGCCAGCACGUUAUGGUGGGGACUCAGUGGAGACCGCCGGGGUCAACUCGGAGGAAGGUGGGGAUGACGUCAAGUCAUCAUGCCCCUUAUGUCCAGGGCUUCACGCAUGCUACAAUGGCUGGUACAGAGAGUGGCGAGCCUGUGAGGGUGAGCGAAUCUCGGAAAGCCGGUCUCAGUUCGGAUUGGGGUCUGCAACUCGACCUCAUGAAGUCGGAGUCGCUAGUAAUCGCAGAUCAGCAACGCUGCGGUGAAUACGUUCCCGGG